GCACACUGGAUUCUCCUGCCUCUAGAACAGUCCCUGUAACAGAGAAGGCGCUCAGAGAAUGAUUGCUGAACAGGUGCAUGAGGGAACGAACGCACAGGUGAAUGAGUGGCUCCCCUCUGAGGAUCUGGUGAGGGCCGCAUUCAUGGGAGUCAGGGAGAUAGAGGCAGGUGGCACGCUGUGUAAACCGUGAAAAAAAAAUAUGAAAAUAUCUGCAAGUCUUGUGCAGUCUCCAAAUAUUUCAACAUAAAUAUUUGCUGGAGGUUGGUCCAACUUUCCAGUCCAAGAGAAGGACAGAAGUUCCUCAAAGAAGUCAGAAUUGCCAGAGAGACACCAUGACCCUCACCAUAAUCCUCCUGGCUCCAAACCAGCUGAGUGCAACUGGCUGCCUGCCUGGGAUGUGCAUUA